UACAGAGGGGGCAAGCGUUGUUCGGAAUUACUGGGCGUAAAGGGCGCGUAGGCGGCCUCUUAAGUCGAACGUGAAAUCCCCGGGCUCAACCCGGGAACUGCGUCCGAUACUGGGAGGCUUGAAUCCGGGAGAGGGAUGUGGAAUUCCAGGUGUAGCGGUGAAAUGCGUAGAUAUCAGGAGGAACACCGGUGGCGAAGGCGGUUCUCUGGGCAUGAUCUGACGCUGAGGAGCGAAAGUGUGGGGAGCGAACAGG
rnacentral:rRNA from 1 species